GCCCUUAGAGUUUGAUCCUGGCUCAGGAUGAACGCUGGCGGCGUGCUUAACACAUGCAAGUCGAACGAAGCUGCUUAGCUGAUCUUCUUCGGAAUUGACGUUUUGUAGACUGAGUGGCGGACGGGUGAGUAACGCGUGGGUAACCUGCCCUGUACAGGGGGAUAACAGUCAGAAAUGACUGCUAAUACCGCAUAAGACCACAGCACCGCAUGGUGCAGGGGUAAAAACUCCGGUGGUACAGGAUGGACCCGCGUCUGAUUAGCUGGUUGGUGAGGUAACGGCUCGCCAAGGCGACGAUCAGUAGCCGGCUUGAGAGAGUGAACGGCCACAUUGGGACUGAGACACGGCCCAAACUCCUACGGGAGGCAGCAGUGGGGAAUAUUGCACAAUGGGGGGAACCCUGAUGCAGCGACGCCGCGUGAGUGAAGAAGUAUCUCGGUAUGUAAAGCUCUAUCAGCAGGGAAGAAAAUGACGGUACCUGACUAAGAAGCCCCGGCAACUCUG
rnacentral:rRNA from 1 species